CUGCAACAGGGCAUUGUCGAAGAAGUGAUUGAGGGUGAGUGCUCAACAUCAAACCUCAAAUACUACUUACCUCACCAUGCUGUGUUCCGAGAGGACAAACUGACAACAAAGAUGAGAGUGGUGUUUGAUGCCUCGUCACACGAAGCUGGCUGCCCCUCCCUGAACAACUGUCUGCUGACAGGUCCGAAUCUCAAUCCUGACCUGCUCGGCAUAUUGAUCAGAUUUAGACUGCAUGAAAUUGCAUUCAUGGCAGAUAUCAAGAAGGCAUUUUUGCAGAUUUCUCUUGCUGAGAAAGACAGAGAUGCAGUGAGAUUCCUGUGGCUCACUGCCCCACCACAGGAAGACACAGGUGAGAAGCUGCGCGUGCUGAGAAUGACCAGGGUGGUGUUUGGAGUGUCCCCAAGCCCCUUCCUGUUGGCAGCUACAGUGAGAAAACAUCUGCAGCAGUAUGGAGAACAGCACACUGCACAGCUUAUCAAAGAGUCACUGUAUGUGGAUGAUUUUGUGGCCAGUGUCCGUGAUGUCGAAGAGGCUGUGUCUGUGACGACCGAAGCAAAGGACAUCAUGGCCGCUGCUGGCAUGGAUCUAUGCAAGUGGAUGACGAACUCUGCAGCACUGAAAGAAAGGUGGAAAGAAACACUCAUUGGCCCCACCGAAGAGCCAGAGGCCCACGGGACAGUGCUGAAGGUACUAGGCUUAGUAUGGAGAACACAGACUGAUGAUUUUGUGUUUGACUUUAGACCCCUGCUAAAGAAGCUGACAAAGAACAGCACAAAGAGAAGCGUUCUGCAACACUCUGCCAGCAUCUUUGACCCUCUCGGCUUCCUGACACCCUUUACCAUACGUGUGAAAUGCCUGCUGCAAGAGAUGUGGGAGAGAGGGCUGAGCUGGGAUGAGGAGCUGCCAGCUGAUCUGAAUCAACAAUGGAACAGCUGGCGCUCUGAACUACCCCUGAUUCACCAGAUCUCUAUACCGCGCUGGUAUGGGAAAAAGGAUGAGCAGAGAGGAAAGACAUCAAGACUCCAUGUGUUCUGUGAUGCCAGUGAGAAGGCGUACAGUUCCGUGGCUUACCUGCAGUGGGAAGAAAAGGACGGAAAGAUGGCUGUUAGCCUGGUUGCCUCAAAGUCCAGAGUGGCGCCGUUAAAGAAAUUGUCACUGCCACGUCUGGAGCUGAUGGGAACAUUAAUAGGAGCAAGGCUUGGAAGAAACCUGAUAAAUCUGCUGAAAAUGGAAACUCAUCAACUUCACAUGUGGACAGAUUCAAUGAUUGUGCUACACUGGAUCCGUGGCUCUACGCACAAGUGGAAGCAGUUUGUUGCCAACAGGGUGACAGAAAUCCAGACCCUUACAGACCCAGCCUCCUGGUCUCACUGUAAAGGAAAGGAAAAUCCUGCUGAUCUACCCACUCGUGGCCAGACUGUGGUGAGCCUGAGUCAGAGUCACCUGUGGUGGAAAGGGCCUGCAUUCCUGACCUCGUCUGAACAAGAAGAAGAGUCGGAUGACCAAUCAGUGGAAGACGACGUGGCUGAAGAGGAAAUUAAAGUACGUGAACAUCUAACAGUACAGCUCGCCACUGAAGAACAUGAGGCAGUAGAACAGGUGCUCGACCUACAAAGAUACAGUAAGCUGAAGACAGUAUUGCGAAUAACAGCCUGGAUAAAGAGAUUCACAGACAACACACGCUCAACAACAAAGAGGAGCGGAGAGCUGACAGCAGAGGAGUUGCUUCAAGCAGAGAAGUAUUGGAUCAAGUCAACGCAACACCAGACCUUCAGUCAAGACGUCACUCUCCUGAAUGCUGGGAAAGCAUUGAACAAGGAUUCAAAGAUCAGAGAGUUAAGGCCUUUCCUGGAUGAAGAUGGAUUGACGUGUGUUGGAGGCAGACUACAGCAAUCAGACUUCAGCUUUCGACAACAGCACCCAUGGAUUUUGCCUGCAAAGAACAGAUACUGUGAAUUGUUAAUUCAACAGAACCAUGAAAACCUGAUGCAUGCAGGCGUGCGAGAUACCCUUGUACAAUUAAGAGAAAGAUACUGGAUAAUGAGAGGGAGACAGCUGGUGAAGAGUGUUCUGUCAAGGUGCCAUGUGUGCAGAAGAUUCAAGGCGAAGCCUGCACAGCAGAUUACUGCUCCGCUGCCCCGUGACAGAAUCACAGAAUCCCCUCCAUUUGAAGUCACAGGUGUGGACUUUGCUGGGCCGCUGUAUGUCAAGGUUAGUGGUGCACUUACCAAGGCCUACAUCACAUUGUUCACCUGUGCUGUGACCAGAGCAGUCCAUCUGGAACUAGUCUCCAGUCAGUCGACAGAGCAUUUCCUGUUGGCUUUGAAAAGAUUUAUCGCUAGAAGGGGACUAUGUAAGGUGAUUUAUUCAGAUAACGCGAAGACAUUCAAGCGUGCUGACCAAGACAUGAAAGAACUGUGGAGAAGCAUCAAAGAUCCACAGCUCCUAGAAUACUUCUCACAGAGGGGUAUAAGCUGGCGAUUUAUCGCUGAACGAGCCGCCUGGUGGGGUGGUUUCUGGGAACGACUAGUCCGGUCAGUGAAAACCUGUCUGAGAAAGGUGUUAGGACGAGCUUCCCUCAGCUUUGAAGAACUGACCACCAUCCUCACAGAGGUGGAAGCCACCUUGAACUCCAGACCACUUACCUUUGUCAACAAUGACCCUGAUGAGCCGCAGCCGCUGACACCUGCCCAUUUCCUUGUGGGAAAAAGACUCACCUCCCUGCCACCGAAGCAGCUUCUAGCUGCCAGCGGGAAUAACACAACCUUGAACAGAGAGGAGAUGACCAAGAGAUGGCGUUACCGGCAGCGCCUCAUGACAAGUUUCUGGAGCAGCUGGAGAAAGGACUAUCUGUUGGACCUGAAGUCAGCUCAUCGCUGUGACACCCUGCAACCUACCUUAUUGAAGGUGGGCGACAUUGUUCUCCUUGGAGAUGACAACAUGCCACGACAGACCUGGAAGCUGGGAAGAGUUCAUGAACUGUUUCCAGGCCGUGAUGGGAAAGUGAGGUCCUGUGCAGUCCGCACAGCAUCAGGGACUUUACUGAGAAGACCAGUUCAACUGCUAUAUCCUUUGGAGACUGAGUGAUGAACUAUAGUUCAUCGGGGGGGAGGA
ensembl:lncRNA